rnacentral:rRNA from 1 species
UACGUAGGGUGCGAGCGUUGUCCGGAAUUAUUGGGCGUAAAGAGCUUGUAGGCGGUUUGUCGCGUCUGCUGUGAAAAUCCGGGGCUCAACCCCGGACUUGCAGUGGGUACGGGCAGACUAGAGUGUGGUAGGGGAGACUGGAAUUCCUGGUGUAGCGGUGAAAUGCGCAGAGUAUCAGGAGGAACACCGAUGGCGAAGGCAGAUCUCUGGGCCGUAACUGACGC